rnacentral:lncRNA from 1 species
AUGCAUGACAUGUAAUGAACAUGCAAACAUGUACUAACGAGGGGAAAUCCCUAAGGGUCUAGCGUUGGAUUAGCCCAUUCUAUGAAUUCCGACUAGCGUUGGACUAGUGGAAACGUACAUUCAUCCAUCACAUUCAUUCAGGCUAUGGAAAGCGAGUAGACAUGCCAAACACUUAUAAACACAUAGCACAUAACAUUUAGCAUGCUCGACUAGAUGCAAGGCCCUAACAAAGCAAAUUAACACGUAGUAACUAAGCAUGCAAGACACAUAAGACAAUUAAAGCCCUAACUAUUACAUUUGCUAGCUAGGCACACGUCUUCGAUAGGUCUUCAUUGAAUGCUCCUCCAAGCCCUAUCUAUUACAUUCACUAACUAAAACAAAAGGGGGAAGGGGAAAAUGGACCAAGUUGCUCGCCAAAGCCCUAUCUAUUACAAGCCAAGAGGUGUACACAUACCCCAUAAAAGAAAAAAACUUAAUAAAGCAAAAGUAAAUGAAAGGAAUGAAAGGAAUUAAAGAAAUGUAAAGAAAGCAAAGUAGACAUGCAAUUCACUUAGCACAUUGGAUCAUAUAGGAGAGAUAAGCAAAGAUAAAAGAAAUUAUACCUUCCCCUAAUGGUAAGCAAAUGAAGGAAAAUGGCUUCAAAACAAUAAAGGGGUCAAGGCAUCAAUUUAAAAGUAAAGUAUAAGCAAAAACACCAAAACCCACCUAAUUGCAACUUGAAUGAGCUCAAAAAAUGCUUAAAGACCAAGAAAACGGAAUAACCCGUUCAAUUUCCAAAUAUAGCAUCUACUAAAGACCCAAAACAAGCAUUACUCAAACAUUCAAGUCCAAAUAAAUCGUUUAAGCACUUCAAAGAUUCCAAAAAUAAAGAAAGAGCCAAACAAUGAUUGAAGUUGCAAUGUUUUUAGGAGUUAAUUACAAGAUACUAAAACAUGCUUGGGCUAUUGUGGCACAAAGAGAAACUUAGAGGGAUCAAAUUGAUUAAAUGUUCCAAUUACUUGGGCCUUAGUAGAACAAAAAGGGACUUGGGGGGGUUCAAAGGCAAUUUUGAAACAAUUUCCAUGCAGGUUCAUGCAAGCUACGUGAGCAAACAUUCUGCAACCAAAACAAAUAUUUCUGCAGCCAAGAAACCAUCGCAACUUGCAUUCUCACAAGCAGAUAUCAACCUCAACACUAAUUUUGAUCAAAAAUCUUUCAACCAAACAUUCAAAGUUAAUCUAAACAUCAUAACACACACAUUCAGAAUUCAAACAAACUCAAAUAUAGAAGAAAACUGAUGCAAAGACAGAAGGAAGCUCAUGCAUUCAGCAGAUUCCAGCCACGGCAUUUCUUUUCUUUUUCAUCAUGCAAACCAGAUUUUUGAUUCAAACACGCAGCUUUGACUAGAUAUGUUCCUAUCCAACAUCACAACUUAAGCCAAGUAAUCGGCUACAUAAUGAUCACAAUCCAGAUGACUAGAAAACAUGGAAAUAUAUCAUGCCAAAAUUCUAAAAUUUAUGCAGAAAUUGUUUCGGCAGCCUGCUUGUUUGCUUUUCAGCAAAGUGUUCAAUCAUGAUCCAAACAUGUAAAUAUGCAGACUCAACACCCAACCCUCCAUUGCUUCCCUCCAACACAAGAUCAAAUAUGAAACUGAAGUGCAAAACUCAACUAGUAACCGAGGGAAAAAAAAAACACAGCAUAAAAAAAUGCCGCAGCUUUUCCUUUGCUGCGUUUUCGAAGGGAACAACUCCUGAAUACUUGGUAAUUUCAGCAAUAUCAUACCAUGACAAGAUAAAUAAAACCAAUGACCUUUACCCCUGCAUUCCCAAAACACACAUGUCACUCCAUUCAAGCAAAUCAAACAGUCCAAAACCAGAUUUUCAGCCACGAAAAUGCGAGUUUGCUGCAUUUUCCUCUAAAGUUCAUCCUUAAUCAAUUUCGCAUGAUUUAACCAAGCAAAGGAACUGACCAUGCUAUGAAUCCAUGACAACACUCAACUGUAAGUUUACACCGGACAAAGACCAGAUCAAGAUCAUGCAUCUUAUGCAAAACAAAAGCAAAUUUGAGAGAAAAAAGAAAAUCUGGUGCAUGGCUUUCUUCUUUUCGCCUCUUCAGAGGUUUAUUACAGACUUGCUUCUUAUGACAAUCAUGCCAGACACAAACAACUUCCAACCAAACAUCAAACAUCCAAAUCAAAGUACCAAGACCCUGCAACUCUACUCAUUAAAAAAUUUUACCGAGAUGCAAGCUACGGAACCCAUCGAGAAAGUUGUCAAAGUUGGAAACUUUUCUGCAAUAUUCUUUCGGCUAAGACACAAUCAUGCACGACACCGACUUAUUCCCCAAAACCUCAGAUUUUUCAUUACCCCAAAUAAGGAUCAUUAAUCGUAUUGAAUUCGAAACAGAACCAAUGAAAAACAAAGGAAUGCAAACAACCGACUAAAGAAAAUAGCUUUCAAUGAUAAAAGGUGAACAUAAUACCUUGGCCCAGGAAUGAAUCGUAUGAUGACCAAGAACUGGCUCAAGUGAUUCUUUCAGAUGCUUGAAGGAAUGCCAGAUGAUGAUGAGUGAAAGCCCAGUUGAUCUCCUUCUGCAACUUUCAGCCGAAGAUCCUUCCUUUUCCUUUUCUGGUUUCCAGUCGAAGCCCUCUUCUUAGCUCUCUCUUUCGGCUUUCUUUUCUCCUUUCACUCUAUCUCUCCAACCCCAGAUUCUCUAGCUGUUUCCUUUUUCUGGUUCUUCUCUAUCCCCUGCCCUUUGUCAAAAACCCAGCUCCUCCCCUCUCGUCUCUAUCCAGCCCUCUUUUCUAUAACCUCGCCGACCUCCCUAGUUUCUCCUAUGCUUGCUUCUUAUUUUUCUUUUAGUUUGUAGCCGCCAAUCUCUCUCUAAAACCCUCAGUUUUUCAGCCGUCAGUUUUCAUCUCUCUUUAUCUCCAAAAAAACUCUCCCCCUCCUGCCGGCUGCCUUUCCUUUGUCUAUUUAUAUGAGGCCUCUCCAAUCCCUAAAACCCAGUCCUCCUUCUGCAAUUUGCAGCCAAGGGGCUGCCGAACCUUUCCUUUGCAAGUCGCGGCAGCUCGCAUGCCGCGGAGCAAUUUUCCCUUUUUUUUUUCACCUGAUAAUUACAGAAUAUAAUAAUAAUAACAAAAUGACAAAAACCAGGUAAUAAUAAUAAAAACCAAUUAAUUAAAAAAACUAAACAAAUGGAAACAACAAAAAUGGUCAUUUUUCAAUUUUUCUUUCAAUUUUCAUUUUUCAUCAUUUUUCUCUUUUUUUUUCUCUUUUUUUUUCAAAAUAACUUAAUAAAAAUAAAUAAAAUGCCAAAAGGUUGAAUUUAAAAGAAAUAAACAUAUUUUGUGAACAAUUUUCUCUUUUUUUUUUUUAUUUUUCAAGAAAACAUUGAAUUUAAAUAAGAAAGAAAACGACUAAAGCAUAUUUUUUGAAUGUUUUUCCCUUUUCUUUUUCCUCUUUUUUUUUUCAAGAAAUUCUAUGCUAAAACUUAAAAAUAAAAAUAAAACUAGAAACUAAAAACUAAAACGAACACGACAAAAAAAAACAAAUGAAAUUACACCAAAAAUUUGGUGUCUACACUUACCCGGCUCUCCUCCUCUUUGUCUCUUGUUGUUUUUGGUCUUGUCUUGGUUAAUAUAACUUAGUCAAAGUGCCAACUUAAAUCCAAGUUUUGCUUUUGUCUCUUGGUCAAUUUUGUCAAGCUUCAACUUCCAACCACAAUUAAAUCGAAAAUUAAAUUUUUGGGCCCUCACAGAUACAUGUCUCAAAUUACCCGUACAAUGAUUAUCACCUCAUGAUAACACGACGUUGUGUAACCUUGAACCAUGCAUAUGAUAUGCUCAACUUACUUGAUUUAUUUGAACUGUUAGAGUGUCUUGGAAUCUCACUGGGUCGUGUAGCUUAUCCCACGUUGUGGUUUUCUUUUACAGGGUUCGAGACCAAAGGUGCUCGUGAGUAGUACUAGAUUGUUUUCUUUUGAAAACUUUAAGUUAUAUUAUAACGGAUGGCUAUUGUACCCUUUUCCGUUGGGUUGUAUUUAAGCUUGAAAGCUGCAUAAUUGUAAGUGUGAGAUAUUUGGAGUACUUUAGUUAUGUAUUGAAGUUAUUUGAAGUAUUUCUAGUCUUGAAUUGUGGAUUGUACCGAGUCCUGGCGAGAGUUGGGCAGGCGUCCCGUGGAUACCUUUUGGUUCGCCUUAGGGAGAAGUGGGGGCGUCACAGGUGUAGCAGAUUUUCAUUUUUUUUUUGUUAAUCUUUAGGGGAGCAGAACUUACAAAUAUCAAAAUUUCUGCUUACAAGACUUUUUUUAAACCAAUAGUUGGGGGACAGCUACUCGCCAGUCCCUUCUUCCCUUCACUCUUGGCUAUUGGCCAUUUAGCAUUGCACAAAUAGCAAGCAAUAUUUCAUAAUCAAUUGAUUCUUGCACGGAAAAUAAAAAUAUAUAACACGAAGGUUUAAUCAAUAUCUUUGCAUCGAAGAUGGAUAAACAUUAAAACCUCUCAUCUUUUAUUUCAAAAUUAUUUUAUCUUAAAACUAAUUAAAUGAUAAUCCAUACCUGAAUUUUAUCAAUUAGGCCUGAUACUUAUAACUUUUGAUUCUUCUCUUAAAAUGAAACAAUUUCAAACAAUAAUGGUCCUGAUCCUGCAACUUGAAUGGAAUAUAUUACUUGAUUGACAUCAUUUGUUAGUAUUUUUGGCUUAGUGAAGUUUUAAUUUCUUCGAAUUUGAAGAGAAGAUAAGCAUAUUGCCUUUGUUAUCCCAAAUUGGGCCAUAACCAGUAGUAUUACAUAGCAAAAUCCAUGAUAACACUAAGCCAUCUAACUCCAAAUAAUUUAGACAAUUUCACUACAAUUUAUAGAAUGACUAAAACUCUCUAAUUGCAUAAUUGAAAAAUCAACUUUUCUAGUUACUACCAAUUCAUAAAUUAAAAAUAAAAUAAAUAAAUCUUGCAACUCUCUAUUUUUAGAAUAUCGUACAGCCAUUAUGCGACUCAAAGUGAAGAGCCAAACUAACCCAUCAAGCUAACUUGAAACCAUUUUAAGAUAACCCUAAACCAAAUGGUUUUGUCUAAAAAACAAAGUGUAUAGGAUGCAAUAGAAAGCCAAUUAAGCACUUCACAACCCCAUCUAGCGGCCAAGGCAGAAGUUUUUCCAAGUUUAUUAAUCAAAACACAAACAAGAGCCAUUGUAAUUAUUACUAGUUCAUAAUGUAACUAAUCACAAUAUAGUUACAGUUAAAACACAAUAUGAUAUAUCUCAAUGGGACAGUCAUGAUGUCCCUUCUUGAAAUAUUUACAAUAACUAUAUACUUGAUCUACUAUAGACUGAUUCAAUUUCACAACCGCAUGAACAAAAUCGAAACUAGUUUCAAAGGGCCUAAUAUCACAAAUUGAAGGCCUCUUACGGUCACAAAUAUGAUCCCUAACUUAGGGUCCAAAAGUACAAUGAUCAUGACAUAUUGGUAGAGGAUGAGUAUAUUUACAAAUAUUCAAUAGUCUAAAACUAAAAGAAAUUCCCAAGUUCAAUUAUUACCAUACGACCUCAUACAUCAAUAUCCUAUUAAUUUCACAUAAAAAUAUGAUGCCUAUUCCAAGUGUUUGGAAAUUCCAUUGUCAAUGAUUUUGUAAAAUCAUUUACGAAGUAAUCUUUAUAACAAUCAAUAUGUACUAAACUUGAUUGCGCCCAAUUAAAUAUAAGAGCAAACUAAUACUCAAAAGAUAAAAUUUUUGAAUCUAUUAAAUACAUUUAUUAUACAAAAUGUUGCGUUAGAAUACUAGAUGGAAUUUAGGAUUCUCACAUUAAUUACUAUAGAAAAUUGAACCCUUAAAAAGUGCAAUGAUCAAUAAACCUAGGGCCUACAACAAAAAAGAUAUUCUACACAACAUAUUCCCUCAAAAUUCUUAUAGCAAAAAAGAUAUUCUGCUCUAAAAGAUAUUCUCUCAAAAUUUUCACUACUGAGACCAAUACAAAGAACUUCUAAAGAAUUAAACAAAUUAUCCCAAAUAAAUGAAUCAUCUACUACUAUUUCAAAUCAAUACAAGAUGAACAACAACUACUACUACUAUGAACUAAUACGAUAUGAAUAACUACUACUUCUAUAAGGUACAAGACAAAUCAUUACUACUACUACUAUAAACUCAUACAAGGUGAAGCCAGCAAUAAGUUGAUAAUAUUAAAAUCUAGGUUUCAAGUACUUGUAUGAAUACGAAGACGCAAAAGGAUGAAACAGACAUUGGGAAUAAUUAACCACUACACUAACUAUUGAUUAGAAGUAGAAGAAGGCAAUAAGAAUACUAUUACAAUUCCUAGAAACCUAUUGAAAUCAUGACCGUGAUCUCCAUUGUGCAUAAACCUAAUGACUACAUCAUUAAAAAUAUCAUUUUGUCAAUCCUUAGAAUUGAAAUUUAACAGGAUUCACCUUGAACUGGAAUCAUGCAAUCUCUAAUUCAUUCUCUCCUAAGGUCUCAAAGUGUUAUUCUCCCAAAGCAUUAUAUCUCAUUCUCUCUGAAUUCAGCCAAAGGCAUAAAAGAAGGAACGAAUUAGGUUUAUCAUUCUUCCUUCCUGCAAAUAAAACCAGUUGCAUCAUCUGGUAGAAGGUUUCGGAGGACACGAGAAAUCAGGCCGCUGGACAGUUGGAUGGGUAAGGGACUAGAAAUCAGGACGCUAAUUCUAUCUGCUAGUAGAGUGGAGCGGGGGCAGGUGAAGUUCUAAAGACAUUAAUUCCUUCUGCCAGUGUUGUGGAACAGGGGUAGGUUAAGGCUCCAAUUGCUGCAGUUUCAUAUGUGGAAGAUCCUUAGAAUCAAGUUCCCAUUGAGCCAAGUAGCGAUGCAGGAAUGCCUGCUGUGGAGAGGAUGAGAGCUGAUGCACGCCGUCCGUCAAUGGAGGGGAUACCAGAUCAGACGCAAUCUGGUAUGAUUGUGCAGUCUUCAGGUAUGCUGGCUUUAGUACAUGAGGACAGAUGUUUCGAUGGGAUGGAGAGGAUGACAUCUGAUGCACUCAACUUGUUAAUGGCGGGUAAACUUCAACAAGCACAACCUGCUUUGAUGGUGCAGUCUUCGAAUCUGCUGGCGAUUGUACAUGAGGACAGAAGCGUCACUGGUGUAGGUGAUACAUCAGCAGAGGAUGAGAUGCGUGAGGUGCAGGGUCAUGUAGGUAAUCUAUCCCCUAGGAGUAAGGUUCAGAAGCCGCAAUUGGGUGGUGCUACAUCUUCACUUACCGCACUGAAUCUUGAGCCUGUCAUGGUGACAAUUGCCAAGGUGAAGACUGAUGAUUUUAAUGAGGUUUUGCAGGUGAAGAAAUGAGGUAUUCGAGCUCAAUUUCCAUCUGACCAUACUGUACGCUCUAGGACUAUUUUUUAAAAAAUUCUUUCUCGAUCUUAUCUGAUGAUUAAUUUCCUGUUUUGAAAUAUUCGAGGUGUUUCGUGUGCCCCGAAUUUAAAAAGACUCCGCUAAUUAGUUAAAGUGUGCUCUAUUCCUUUAGUAGCAAUUUGUGAACCUAAGACUGCUAUAGUAAAUAUUGAUAUUAUUCAGCUUAAGGUGGGGGUGGACUUUUGUGUCACGAAUCAGUAGGGUAUAGUAUGGGUUUUUUACCAAUCUUCCUUCAGUUGUCAAAAUGUGGGGGAGUUAGAUCAACAUCUAACUUUAUGCAUUCGAUCUCAAUUGUUUCCUGAGGAGAUUUAUUUUUCUUUUGUACAUACAAAAUGCAUCGUUCAAGAAAAGGAAGGGUUAUGGACUAAAUUAUUGCGAGAGAAGCCGAAGGCAAAUUCAUGGUUUCUUGUUGGGGAUUUUAAUGUUAUAUUGAAUACAGAGGAAAAGCAUGGUGGCUUGACUUUUAGACAUUCUGAAGGGGUUGAAUUCUCGCAUUUCAUGUCAUCAGUGGAAGUUGGAGAUGCUAGUUUUUUUGGAUCUAGAUUUACAUGGUGUAACAAUAGGCAGGGCACGGCUCAGGUUUGGAAGCGAUUAGACAAGCUUUUGCUCAAUUCAACUGCUAUGCAGAUGGCGAACAAUGUUUUAGUCCAACACCUGGGGAGAGAUCUGUCGGAUCAUGCUUCUCUUUUAAUCUCGGCGUCAACUAGGCUGGAUGACAAGCCGAAACCAUUUUGAUUUCUGAAUGUUUGGACUUUAAAACAUGAUUUUCUGGAUGUAAUUAAGGAGAGCUGGUCCCAAUCCUUCAAUGGCUCGCCUCUUUGGAUUUUGUCGGAUAAAUUGUGAAAUGUUAAGCAGGCACUUAAGCAAUGGUCUAGGGAUUCCUUCAGAGAUAAUUUUUCAAUGAUUCGGAGAGUGGACCAGGAGGUGUUGGAGAUUGAGAUGGCCUAUAAUUUUUCACUAUAGAUUUUUUGCUAGUAGAUCUCCAAUAGUCGCGUGCAAGACUUAGACAUGCUUUGGUUAUAGAAGAGGGUUUCUGGAUGCAGAAAGCUCGAGCCAUGGUGUCUCUAAGAGGAUGAGAAAGGCGGUUAUCCAUCGAAUUAGGAAGUUGAAUGGUGAUUAGGUAGACACAGAAUCAAGUAUUUGCAGCAAGGCAGUUUCUUUUUUUCAAGAUUUGUUCAUGGAGGAAGGUGGCCUCGCAUCGAGUGACAUGCUCAAUGCAAUCCCCAAAAUCAUUACUGAUGUUGACGGAGGUUCCGUUGACUCAAGAGGUGAAGAAUGUAAUUUUUUUUAAUGGAUAAGGAAAGUGCAGCGGGUCCUGAUGGUUUUACAGGGAAGUUCUUCACGGUUCCAUGGGAUGUGAUUGCUAAGGAUGUUUAUAGGGCUAUAGUGAGUUUUUUCUGUGGGACGGAAUUGCCAAGAAGUAUCACGGCUACAACGAUUGUCUUACUCCCCAAUGUUCAGUGUCUACAGGAUUUUACUCAAUAUCGAUCGAUAAGUUUAUGUAAUUUUAUCAACAAGGUCAUUUCCAAAUUUUUUUCUGAAAGAUUAGCUAAGGUUCUUCCCUGUGUUAUCUCAUCGCAGCAAAAUGAUUUUGUGCCAGGGAGAUAGAUUGCAGAUAGUUUUCUAUUAGCUCAAGAGCUGUUGUGUGAUAUUAACAAAUCUAAUCGGGGAGGGAAUGCAUUGCUCAAGUUAGAUAUGAUAAAGGCGUAUGACAGGGUGUCCUGUUUUUUUUUUAUGCAAGUGUUAUAUUACUUUGGGUUUAGUGAGGCUUGGAUAGUUAUGGUUUGGAGGCUGAUCUCUAAUGUUUGGUUUUCAAUAAUUGUGAAUGGCUUGCCACAAGGAUUUUUGAAGUCUAUACGCGGAUUGAGAUAGGGUGACCCAAUUUUGGUAGCCUUGUUCGUGAUUGGAGCUGAGGUACUAUCUCGGUCCCUGAAUGCGUUGUCAACGUGUCGCGCCCCAUUUUUUUGGAAAAAAUAUGGAAAAGUUGUUUGAAAUCAUAAUGUGCAGUGUGCAUGAAAUAUGUGAAGUGUGUGAAUGUGAGAAGUAAAGGAAAAUGCCAUGGGACUUUUAAAUGCGACGGUUUGACCAAAAAUAGUAAUCUAAAAAGGUUUUGGUAAAAAAGGUAGGAGUCGCCACUUGGUAUUGAGUUAGGGUGUACCAAGUCCCCCAAAAAGUAGUUUUUGAAAAAAUGAAGUAAAAACCUUUUUAGAUGACUCCUAAUCUACAAAAAUCAAAGAGACGAGUUUGGGGGUCGCGGUUGAUAAAAGGGAAGGCAAAGACGAAGUCUAAGGCACCCUUUUACCCUAGCCUAAGCUAGUUGCGUGAUUUAGUGAUAAUUUUCCUAUUUUUACCCAAAAAGAUGUGUUGCAUUUGGAUGUGUCUAACAUGAAUGCAAACCUAAAUCUAAUGAUUGGUUCGAACGGGGCAAAAUGUCUCUUUUGAGGUUCGAUUGGUCCUAAUCACAUGAAUUGUGAUAGCCAAUGGUGAAUCCUCAAAGAGGUCACGACUAAAUGCAAAUAAAUGCUCGAGUAAUAAUGAGAAAAAAAUGAGAGUAUGAGAAAAAUGUCUUUGAGUGUAAAAACGAGUGUUAGGUGCAAAUGUGCAAAGCAGGUGUGUAAAGUGCAAGGGUGAAGUGAUAGUGUGCAAAGUGGUACUAUGUAUAAAGUGAGAGUGUGUGAAGUGAUAGUAGGUAAAAAGUGGUAGUGUGCAAAUGAUAAUGUGAAAUGCAUGAGCCCUAGAGGAAUGCAAAGCAAGACGGGUACAGGGAGACCCUAAAAUGGUGAGUUUUAAUUUUCCUUUUGGUUAGAAAGAAAACGAGCGUGCUAAGGCUAUUGUGUAGCCAUACUCGUCCGUUUUCCUUAUCAAAAGGGUGACUCCCUAACCUAUGCAAGCAAAUAAGCUAGUCUAAAAGUGAGAAUGCAGCCCUAAAUGUAUAAGGCAAAGGUUAGGGGAGCAUGCAAAAGUGAGAAAUACUAAAAUGAAGAUAUGCAUGAAGUUGUAGUGAGGCAUGCAGGUAUGACACUAGCGAAAGGGGGACGGCCCUAUUGGGUCUAGCAUUGGACUAGCCUUUGCUAAUGCUCUCUCACAAGCAUUGGACUUGUGAGUGAUCGAGGGGAAGACCAUGACUAGCAUUGGACUAGCCACGGCAACGUGCAUUCUAUCGACGUAAUCAGAUAUAAUACUAAAAAGCAAAUAGACAUGCAAAACACAUAGUUUCACCUUGCACGUAGCACAUAAGCAUGCUUAUCUAGAUACAAAAGACCUAGGGAAAACGAAUAAACACAUAGGCAUAUAGGCACACACAAACACAUAACACAUAAGCCCUAUCUAUUACACUUGGGGAACCCUACUACAAUCUAAAAGGGGAAAUAAAUAAAUAAUUAAUUUAAAAAACACCUAACUAUUACAAUUGUGGCAUUUAAAUGCCUCCCGAAUAACUAGAAAUUAAAUUAAACUAAAUGUACAAAAUUAAAACCAAUAAAGUGAAUAAAUCAAUAAAUGAAAUGAAACAUUCAAAACGCAUACAAUUAAGCACAUAAAAUCACAUAAGAGCACAUAGGAUCAAAUAAAGUCAAAAUAAGGGAUAGAGUGUACCUCCCUUGAAUGGGUGCCCUAAUAAAAUGAAAUUACUUAUUUAUCCUCCAAAAACAAAGAAAAGGUCAAGGCAUCACUUUGAUAACAAAUAAUACAUGAAAUGGAAAUAAACAUGAAAUUGAAUCACUCAAAGCAUUUAAAUAAACUAACAACCCAUAUUCGUCAAAUUGAAACAAACAAAGACCCAUUUGAAAGAAUUGAAGAAGUUCGAGGGAUCAAUUUAUUAUUAUUACAAAUAUUAAGGGUCUAAAAGGAAAUAAAUUAAAAUUAAGGCCUUAAGGUGAAACCUAUCCCAAACCAAAUGAUAAAGUUCACAAGAAAUAAAUGAAAACUAAUUUGCUACGAUUAAACAACAAAAUUUCCAAAAUUCCACUAAAAUCCAAAUUGACACCAUAAAUCUAGAAAAAGUUACUAAACCUUCAAAUUCAUUGUAAAACUCAUGCAUAUUCUGUCCAAUAAUCACAAUGAGAACACACCAAAGCAAGAAAACAUUUUAAAGGACAAAAUUGAUUAACUUUUACGAUAUUAUGGGCCAUAAUGGCAUAAGGGGAAACUUGGGGAGAUUAGAUUGUAAUUUAGAAAGUUUUUCAUGCAAUCUUCAUGCAAGGUUACGAAGUAACUUUUUGCAACAAAGUUUGCUGUCUUCUUUAGUUCGCUACAUUAUUCCAUUGAACUAGCCAAACAUAUGCCAACUUAUCACCACAAAAGGUAAAGCAAUCAUAUCAAGACCCAUUCAAAAUUCCCAGCAAAAUCAUCCAAAAUGUUAACAAAGAUCCACAACCUCAACUGGAAGACACAGUCUACUAAACAAACCAGUGAAUCAUGAAAAAGAAAAUGCAGCAAUGAAGAUGCAACGAAGACCUCAAACAGGCUUGGCUAAGGAACCUAAAUCUAGUCAAAUUUCACAUGUCUUGUCUUACCAUUUUCAACAAAACGCAGAUAGGACUUAGCAAUCCAUAGCCAUAAUCAUUCAACAACAAAAAACGUAGCAUGGUCGAAGCUUUACUCUCUUAUUUGCUGGUUUCUGGGUUUUACAACUUUGCGGCUUAUUUGCAACUACAGGAAAUUUUGCAAAGACUUUAAACACUGCUAUGAAGCCCAACAUUCAUUGGCUUGCAUAAAACCUUCAUCACACACAAAAACUAACCAUGCAAACCAAGGAAUAUACAGAGCAGAAAGGGCCAUUAAAUCAAAUUACUGCUGCCAAUUUCGCCACUCAUUCCAUGCAAUUAUAUCCAUGCAGAAACUCAAACCAAAUCUAUUAUUUCAUUAGUCCAAACACACAUGAUCCUCAAUUCAUCAAUUUUAUUUUUUUAAAAACCACCAAGCAUGUUUGUCUAGCUUUAAUAGUUUCCACAGAGAGGAUCCGGGUCAAAAAAGCAAGGAAAAAAAAAACAAAAAAAAUGCAGCAAAGAAAUGCUUAUCAUUUGAUUGCAUCGUCAAACUAAAACAUUCAAGAAAAAGUGCUAAAGCCCGGACCAUGAAAACAAAUAAGACACUCAGAGCACAACUCACCACACCCAGAUCAUACGCAUUCGGUUUCAUAGGAAGAAAACAACACAAAAGUUGACAGCUUUUUGGUUCACAAGUCUUCAGCAACAUGAAUUCCGAAACACAGCUUUUAGUUCAUAAGUUUUUUUUUACAAACAAAAAGACGAAUUCCCGAUAAACAUGUAGCGGGAGUGAAGGAACAAUAAGCAACAAAAACAGUUGUCCUAAGCAAACUCAAGGAAUACAUGCUUAGAAUGUUUCAAAAAUCUGAACUUUAAAAGGAAACUGCAAUUUAAAGGGAAAGGAGAGCUCACAAUGCUUUCUUUCAGUAAGGAUUCGUGGGUGAUGGUGGAUUGGGGUGAUUCCAACCCUGGUUCCUCCUGAUUUUCGAAGAACAGCACCAGACCUUCUUCCUUCUCUGGUUUUUCUUCUUUUCCGUUCUUGCUUUCCCACGAAACUCUCUCUCAGUUGUUCCCUCUGGUUUCUUGCUGUCACUUCUAGCUCUCUCUCUCUCAUCUCGUUCUUUUCCUUUGUUUUUCUAGUUUUCUUUCCAGCCCGAAAGCUCUCCCUUUUUCACUCUCCUUAGCCAUCACACUCCCUAUUCUCUCUUUUCCUCUUUUAGCCGUCACUUCCUAUCUCCUCUCCCCAUCUACUCUAAACCCUUGGUUCCCUUUUAUAUCAGAUUGAAACCCUUAAAACCUGAUCUCGAUGGUUCACAAGCAAUUUCAGCUCACCGCCUCUCUCUCAGCCAUCAGAUUGGUUUCAAUUUCUAGAUUCUUCUUGGUUUGUAGAUGAAAGACAGGUGGAAUGCAGUUAGCAUGAUCCAAUGGUGAAGGAAAAUCAAUGGAAAAAAGGAUGGAAAAUGGGAUGGAACCGAGCAAUGCAUUUUUCUGUAUUUGUCGCGCCCCAUUUUUUGAAUAAAUAAAUAAAAUUGGUUUGAAAAAAUGUAUUUUUGUGAUUGGAAAGAAAAAAUGGGUCUAAAUGGGACUUUUGAAAAUGCGACGAUUUGACCCAAGAAAAAUAGUUCAAAAAGGGUUUUUUAUAUGAAAAAUGGAGUCGCCACUUGGUAUAGAGUUAGGGUGUACCAAGUCACCCAAAAAAAGUGAAUUUUUUAAGGAAAAAAGUAAGAAAAACCCUUUUGAACGACUCCUAGUCCACGCAAACAAAGAUAAAGGUUCGGGAGUCACAUUUGACGAAGGGGAAGGCGAGGAUAAAAUCCAAGGCACCCCUUCGACCUAGCCAAGGCUAGUUGCGUUGAUUUAAUCAAAGAUUUUCUUGUUUUAACCAAAGAAUUUAUUACAUUUGGAUGCACUACGUGAAUGCAAACCCUAGACCUAGGGGUAUUGGGGGAAAUUUCCCUUCAAAGGUUGAAUGGUGCCAAUCACAUUAAUUGUGAAGCCCAAUAACGAUCCUUUUGAAGAGGCCACGAAUAAUGCGAGUGGGAUGCAAAUGAAUGGAAUGCAUGUAUGCAAUGUGAGGACAUGAGUUUGAAAAAGUAAUAAAAGACAAUAAUAUGUAAGUGAAAAUGUGCACGUGAGUGGGCAAGGUGCGGUAUGUGAAAUGAUAAUAUGAAGUGCAUGUGUGCAAGUGAUGAUAAAAGUGUUCAUGUGCAAGUGAAGGGAUAAAAGGUGUACGUAUGCAAAUGAAGGGAUAAAAGGUGUACGUGUGCAAAUGGAGGGAUAAAAGGUGUACGUGUGCAAAUGGAGGGAUAAAAGGUGUACGUGUGCAAAUGGGAGGAAAAAAAUGAAAGUGUAAUGAUAGAGUGGAUGCAUGAACCUAGGGAAUUCAUGCAUAAUGGGUACGGGGAGACCUAAAUCGUGACUCAAUUUGCCCUUUGAUAGAGAGGAUACAAGCGUGCUAAGCCUUAAAAAAAGCCACACUCGUCUAUAUCCCAUAUUUAAGGGGACUCUCAAGCAAAUGAACCCUAUAACUAGCAUGAAAUGCAAAAAUCCUAAAAUGGGGGGAAAAGAGAUUCGAGGGGCAUGCAAAAUGAUGAAACUAAAAAGAAUGCAUGACAUGUAAUGAACAUGCAAAUAUGUGCUAAUGAGGGGAAAUCCCUAAGGGUCUAGCGUUGGACUAGCCCAUUCUAUGAAUUCCGACUAGCGUUGGACUAGCGGAAACGUAUAUUCAUUCAUCACAUUCAUUCAUGGCCAUGGAAAGCGAGUAGACAUGCCAAACACUCGUAAACACAUAGCACAUAACAUUUAGCAUGCUCGACUAGAUGCAAGGCCCUAACAAAGCAAAUUAACACGUAGCA